CUUGAGACAGAGUCUCACUUCAUCACCCAGGCUGAAGUGUAAUGGCACGAUCUUGGCUCACUGCACCCUCUACCUUCCAGGUUCGAGCGAUUAUCCUGCCUCAGCCUCAUGAGUAGCUGGAACCCCAGGCGUGCGCCACCAUGCCCAGCUAAUUUUUGUGUUUUUUGUAGAGAGUGAGUCUCACUGUGUUGCCCAGUCUGGUCCUGAACUCCUAUACUCACCUCCCACCUCAGCCUCCCAAAGUGCUGGGAUUACAGGCGUGAACCAGUCUUUUUACCAAAUUUUAACAUCAGUAGGUUAUACAGUUAAAGUUUAGCUUUCACUGAAGUACAAGCCUGAAGGCCCCUUAAGACCAUUGAGAAAAUACUCUUUCCUCCUACACACCAGUGGGAAUUCAGCAUUUCUAAAUGAGAUGCAGUUUACUUCUGCCAAGAGCCCACUUAGCAGGCACACAAAUGAAUGGGGAAAGAACGCUUUGCCCCCACAGGAGGCGCCGGUGGGGGUGAGGCGCUGUGCUCUCUGCUCAUGCCCCUCUGUGUAGGGCAUGGCCAAUUUCGGAUAACUGCUUUGUUUACCACACAGGUGCUUUGCUUGUAGAAUGGCCCACACCUAAAACGCAGCCAAAACAGGAAAAUUGGGACUUUGUGUUUUUAUUUUGUCUUCAUAUAGCGUUUUCUUGUGAUUUUUGUGUUCUGAGUUGUAAAUACUUCUAAAUUUCAGGUUUAUCUUUUAAAAUAGCUGUAUAGAUUUCUAUUAGAAAAUAGAGUUCAACCUGCUUUGAGGCUUUCUUGUUUUGCUUAAGCCGUAUUAAAAUACAGUUUCGUGGUAUUAAUAUUUUUCUACUUUUCAUGCAAGCUGAGCAUGUAAACAGCUCGUUUGUUUGCUCUCCUAAGAUCUUGAUUCCUUUUUCUUUGGGAAGUCUGUUAGCGCUGUCAUUACUCCACACAUUGGCAUUUGGACCCACUUUUAACACACUUUAUUUUGGAGAGACUUCAGAUAGUGGACAAACUAAAGAAUUUAAAAUGAAACUCAAACAAUUCCCAGAACAUUAUUCUAUAAGCAGCUUGGAGACGAUAGUUUGAAAAGUAAUUCAGUGUCCUGUUUCUUCCUCAGGCUUCAGGGAUGACUUCUUAGGGGGCAGGGGAGGUAGUCGCCCAGGCGACCGGCGAACAGGCCCCCCCAUGGGCAGCCGCUUCAGAGAUGGCCCUCCCCUCCGUGGAUCCAACAUGGAUUUCAGAGAACCCACAGAAGAGGAAAGAGCACAGAGACCACGACUCCAGCUUAAACCUCGAACAGUCGCGACGCCCCUCAAUCAAGUAGCCAAUCCCAACUCUGCUAUCUUCGGGGGUGCCAGGCCUAGAGAGGAAGUCGUUCAAAAGGAGCAAGAAUGAGCCUGCGGUUGGGAGGGAAUGGGGCGUGGGGGGUUAGAGCAGGACCACAGCCUGGUGAGUCCCCGGGCAGCCGUCCUGCAGCCGCCACUCCUGCGCCUGCCAUUGGCCUCCUCACAGCGGAAACACAGCUUGUGAGUGCAUGUCAGCUGUUAACAAGUGGUUUUUAGUACAUUCUGGGCUUUGCUGUAUCUAUCUAGUGCCUGUUUGUGCGUUUUUUUCUU
rnacentral:lncRNA from 10 species